rfam:Ictidomys tridecemlineatus contig078026, whole genome shotgun sequence.
UGUGUAUAGCUCAGUGGUAGAGCCCAUGCUUAACAUGCACAAGGCUCUGGGUUCAACACCCAGCACCACAG